rnacentral:rRNA from 1 species
UACGUAGGGGGCAAGCGUUGUCCGGAAUCAUUGGGCGUAAAGCGCGUGUAGGCGGCUCGGUAAGUCCGCUGUGAAAGUCCAGGGCUCAACCCUGGAAUGCCGGUGGAAACUGUCGAGCUAGAGUCCGGAAGAGGCGAGUGGAAUUCCUGGUGUAGCGGUGAAAUGCGCAGAUAUCAGGAGGAACACCAAUGGCGAAGGCAGCUCGCUGGGACGGUACUGACGCUGAGACGCGAAAGCGUGGGGAGCAAACAGG